rnacentral:rRNA from 1 species
GACGAACGCUGGCGGUGUGCUUAACACAUGCAAGUCGAACGGUAAGACCCUUUCGGGGGUACACGAGUGGCGAACGGGUGAGUAACACGUGAGUAACCUGCCCUCAUCUCUGGGAUAACAGUCGGAAACGGUUGCUAAUACUGGAUAUGAGCUUGCAAGGCAUCUUGUGGGUUGGAAAGAUUUUUUUUGGUUGGGGAUGGACUCGCGGCCUAUCAGCUUGUUGGUGAGGUAGUGGCUCACCAAGGCUUCGACGGGUAGCCGGCCUGAGAGGGCGACCGGCCACAUUGGGACUGAGAUACGGCCCAAACUCCUACGGGAGGCAGCAGUGGGGAAUAUUGCACAAUGGACGGAAGUCUGAUGCAGCAACGCCGCGUGCGGGAUGACGGCCUUCGGGUUGUAAACCGCUUUCAAUUGUGACGAAGCUUUUUUGUGACGGUAGCAGUAGAAGAAGCACCGGCUAACUACGUG